rnacentral:lncRNA from 1 species
UUAAUAAAUAAAAUAAACCAGUGGAACCGAAUUGAGGACUUAAACACAAUGCGCACAAAUCAAAGAGGAUUAGAAAUGCAAAUCAACCAAAUCCCGAAACGAAGCGUUCCAAUACACGCAUUUAAAUGGUUCAAGGACCAGAUUGAAACAAAAAUUAAAUUUCUGGGUCAUACUAAAAAAUAAAAGAAAAUUUUAAAUAGGACAAAAUUGCAUAGCAAAGAAAAUGCGGAAGGACCUAGGGAGCAAAUUGCCCUUUUAUUAAAAACGCGUGGAUCCUCCCCGGGUCGGGUCACUCGCGCGGAUCCUCCUUUAAACGAAGCCGUUUUGCACUUUAAAAGCUUAAGUGAAACGACACCGUUUCACAAAGGCUAUUUAAACAAUUUUUUUUUGUUUUAAAAAAAAAUUCAUCCUUCAAAAUAUAAAAAGAAAAAAAAAUUCUCUCCCUUUUUUCCUCCACCUAGGCGAUUUCCGGCCUAGCUCCGAUAUAGUCCACCGCCGCGCGCACCACCGUCGACGCCACCGUAUACACAGCCAGAUGGCCGGAAACCUCCAUUUUUAGGCGAAUCGAAAGGUAAAAUUCUUCUUUUUAUUGUUCUUCUUUUUUUUGAAUAUAUAUAUAAAAAUCAAAAUCAAAAUAAAAGAAAAUCAAAAUAAAAGAAAAUCAAAAUAAAAGAAACUAGAUGAAAUAGAUGAAAUCCAUAAAAAUCACCUUUAAUCUUUCCGAGUAUAUUUCUUUG